UGUUUUACGCUACGUCUAUUAUUGAAACCCAAAUUCUCUCCACUUUGUCGUAUCACCUUCAUCAGUCAAUGCUAUUUUUGGCUUUGAUUAGGUUCACCUCCGUAUUCCUUCCCUCUCUCUAAUCUUCUCCAAUAAAAAUCCAUGGAACUCUUCAGCUCCCCCUCUCUUCUCAUUCUAUCGAUAUCUCUGUAAAUAAUUGAUGCCAGGAUCGGGAAUCAAACAUCGCUUACUCGCUUAUUGUGUCUCUCAACCGGCUAAUCUUUAAUUCCACUGUUGAAAAUGUCUGCUUCCGAUGCUAUUUCUGUCCAGACAGAUGUUACCAAGGCCAACUUUGACGAUCUCCACGCUCUUGCAAAUACGAACUUAUAACUCCCCGAUGUUGAACAAAUAUGUUUCAUGUAAGGCUAUGACCUCAACUAGGCGGCAGCAACGAAUCGUUUGUCGUCCGUUUUUUCAUUGAGCUUUUGGUCAUGCUGUAUUUGUCUUUGUGGGAUGGCGCAGCCACAAGUUUUGGGGGAAUUUGUGCUCAGGCUAUACUACCCACUCUGUCAUGGUGGUCAUCACGGUGAAUCCUAAAAUUUUUGGAGGUAUUGGUAGGACAGAAGAGGUCCUCCCACGUGUUGAGAUCUUCACAGUGCCUCUCCAAAGUCCAACGACUAGGCUAGAUCGUCGGUGUCCUCCAGCAAAAUGGUUGGUCGACAGAAGAGGUCUUCUGUCGCUUGCACUGGUUGCAGAAGGAGAUUGGACAAAUCCAAGACUUCACUACAGUGCAAUAGAUGUGUUUCACCAAACGUCACUGGAGUCAUCAGGUUCCAUGUCGAGUAGCCUUUAGAUGAUGGCUACGAAAAUGCUGUAUUUGUGGUGUCUGACACGGAGAUGACCAAACAGACCAAGAAAAAUGCAGCCACAAUGGCUCUUGAGGAGAUGUGGCUCUCAACACACAUUCAGAGGUUGCAAGCAGCAGCAAAGCACCACAGGUGUACGACUAAUCGGAACAACCACCAGCAUCUGGCAACUUCACAUGUGAUGCAUACACGAAAGAAAUGGACGGUGAGGCAGCAAAACCAACCAAGCUUUGGAGACGAUGAGAACACCCGCAAGCGCCUGGAACGUUGACGGGAAUUUGCAUAUUGGGAAAAAGGCUUUGUUUCACUUUGUGCAUGAAUACAUAUUCAGAUAGUAAAACAGCCAUCAACCUCAAUAUGAUAAGAAUCUGAUGCCGUCUUAUUUUUAAAAGGACCACCACAAUUUGACUAACAUAUUCGAGAGGUUUGAUGGCGAGGUAUUCGGAGUACAACAACACACAAGCCCACUUCAUCAAAGAGUUGAAUACUUACAUGCUAAAAAAAUAAAAAUCUUGGUUUCUAUCACUUCUCAAGAAAACAACCCAAAAUAUGUGCUCAUCCUCUUAGUAAAUCUAUUUCUGAAUCUGAAGUUUGGUAAUGUAUUUAAACUAUCUCCUACUCGGUGAAUAGUUACUUUUAUUUUAAAUAAAGAGGAACGUUGACGUGUCUU